rnacentral:rRNA from 1 species
ACGUGAGAGAAUGGUUACCGCGGCUGCUGGCACGGAGUUAGCCGGUGCUUCUUCUGCGAGUAACGUCACAGAUGUAAGGUAUUAACUUACACCCUUUCCUCCUCGCUGAAAGUGCUUUACAACCCGAAGGCCUUCUUCACACACGCGGCAUGGCUGCAUCAGGGUUUCCCCCAUUGUGCAAUAUUCCCCACUGCUGCCUCCCGUAGGAGUCUGGGCCGUGUCUCAGUCCCAGUGUGGCUGAUCAUCCUCUCAGACCAGCUAGGGAUCGUCGCCUAGGUGAGCCUUUACCUCACCUACUAGCUAAUCCCACCUGGGCUUAUCCAUCAGCGCAAGGCCCGAAGGUCCCCCGUGCUUUCCCCCGUAGGGCGUAUGCGGUAUUAGCAGUCGGUUUCCAACUGUUAUCCCCCACAAAUGGGCAAAUUCCCAGGCAUUACUCACCCGUCCGCCGCUCGUCAUCUUCAAAAAGCAAGCUUUUGAAAUGUUACCGCUCGACUUGCAUGUGUUAGGCCUGCCGCCAGCGUUCAA